rnacentral:ncRNA from 1 species
GGUUGGGUUAACUGUUUCAUCACAGUCGUGAUUGAGAUCGGGAUUUACAAUUAUUCCCCAUGAACAAGGAAUUCCUAGUAAAUGUAAGUCAUUAGCUUGCACUGAUUACUUCUCUAUCCUUUGGUACACAUGGUCGAAUGAACAUCA